rnacentral:rRNA from 1 species
UGGGCAACCUGCCCCUGACACUGGGAUAACCCCGGGAAACCGGAGCUAAUACCGGAUACUCUCGGCUGAUCACAUGGCUGGCCGAGGAAAGGUCCGCCGGUCAGGGAUGGGCCCGCGGCCUAUCAGCUUGUUGGCGAGGUAACGGCUCACCAAGGCGACGACGGGUAGCUGGUCUGAGAGGACGACCAGCCACACUGGAACUGAGAUACGGUCCAGACUCCUACGGGAGGCA